CGAAUACUACUGGGGGUAGAGCACUGUUAAGGCUAGGGGGUCAUCCCGACUUACCAACCCUUUGCAAACUCCGAAUACCAGUAAGUACUAUCCGGGAGACACACGGCGGGUGCUAACGUCCGUCGUGAAGAGGGAAACAACCCAGACCGCCAGCUAAGGUCCCAAAGUAUUGCUAAGUGGGAAACGAUGUGGGAAGGCUUAGACAGCUAGGAUGUUGGCUUAGAAGCAGCCAUCAUUUAAAGAAAGCGUAAUAGCUCACUAGUCGAGUCGGCCUGCGCGGAAGAUGUAACGGGGCUAAGCAAUACACCGAAGCUGCGGCAAUGCGAUUUAUCGUAUUGGGUAGGGGAGCGUUCUGUAAGCCGUUGAAGGUGAACUGUAAGGUUUGCUGGAGGUAUCAGAAGUGCGAAUGCUGACAUGAGUAACGACAAGGGGGGUGAAAAACCUCCCCGCCGGAAGACCAAGGGUUCCUGUCCAACGUUAAUCGGGGCAGGGUAAGUCGACCCCUAAGGCGAGGCCGAAAGGCGUAGUCGAUGGGAAACGGGUUAAUAUUCCCGUACUUCUUAUGAAUGCGAUGGGGGGACGGAGAAGGCUAGGUGGGCCAGGCGACGGUUGUCCUGGUUCAAGUGCGUAGGCUAAGAGACUAGGUAAAUCCGGUUUCUUGUUAGGCUGAGACACGACGUCGAGCU
rnacentral:rRNA from 1 species